CUGGGCGUAAAGCGCACGCAGGCGGUCUUUCGCGUUCGUGCCGACAGCGACUCGCCUAACGAGUCGAGGAGUACGGAAACGGGGGGACUUGAGGGCCAGAGAGGGACACGGAACUCCGGGUGGAGUGGUGAAAUGCGUAGAGAUCCGGAAGAACACCAAAGGCGAAGGCAGUGUCCUGGUUGGUACCUGACGCUCAGAGGCGACAGCUAGGGGAGCGAACGGGAUUAGAUACCCCGGUAGUCCUAGCCGUAAACGAUGACCACGAGAUGUCCGGGGGAUCGACCCUCUGGGUGUCGAAGCAAACGCAAUCAGUGGUCCGCCUGGGGAGUACGGUCGCAAGAUUAAAACUCAAAGGAAUUGACGGGGACCCGCACAAGCAGCGGAGCGUGUGGUUUAAUUCGAUGCAACGCGAAGCACCUUACCAGGGUUUGACAUGUCUUUGCACCGCCUGGAGACAGGCGUGCCCGCAAGGGACGGAGACACAGGUGCUGCAUGGCUGUCGUCAGCUCGUGCCGUGAGGUGUUGGGUUAAGUCCCGCAACGAGCGCAACCCUCAUUGCUAGUUGGAUUUUUCUAGCGAGACUGCCACGAUCAACGUGGAGGAAGGUGGGGAUGAGCGUCAAGUCAGCACGGCCCUUACAUCCUGGGC
rnacentral:rRNA from 1 species